rnacentral:rRNA from 1 species
CAGCCGUAAACUAUGCGCGUUAGGUGUAUCGGUGACCACGAGUUACCGAGGUGCCGAAGGGAAACCGUGAAACGUGCCGCCUGGGAAGUACGGUCGCAAGGCUGAAACUUAAAGGAAUUGGCGGGGGAGCACCACGAACAGGUGGAGCCUGCGGUUUAAUUGGACUCAACGCCGGGAAGCUCACCGGAUAGGACAGCAGAAUGAUUGCCGGGCUGAAGACCCUGCAUGACUAGCUGAGAGGAGGUGCAUGGCGUCAGUGACU